GGCUGGCAGCUCAGUGUUUAGAGCAUCAGCCUGCAGGCUGAAGGGUCGUGGGUUCGAUUCCCAGUCAAGGCCA
rnacentral:tRNA from 1 species